UGAGGAAUAUUGGGCAAUGCCCGCAAGGGUGACCCAGCAACGCCGCGUGGAGGAUGAAUGUCGUAAGAUUGUAAACUCCUGUUAGAGGGGAAGAAUAGUACCGGUUGGACCGGUAUAUGACUGUACCCUCAGAGAAAGCCCCGGCUAACUACGUGCCAGCAGCCGCGGUAAUACGUAGGGGGCAAGCGUUGUCCGGAUUUACUGGGUGUAAAGGGCGCGCAGGCGGGAUAAAAAGUCAGUGGUGAAAUCCUACAGCUUAACUGUAGAACUGCCUUUGAUACUUGUAUUCUUGAGUUCGGGAGAGAGACGGAAUGCCAGGUGUAGUGGUGAAAUACGUAGAUAUCUGGAAGAACACCAGUUGCGAAGGCGGUCUCUUGAUCCGACACUGACGCUGAGGCGCGAAAGCGUGGGGAGCAAACA
rnacentral:rRNA from 1 species